rnacentral:lncRNA from 1 species
GGGGAUGGGGAUGGCGAUGGGGAUGGGGAUGGGGAUGAUGCACGUAGGGUCUCUGCCCUCUCUUCACGUGGUGUGGCUGUGCUGCUAGUGACUAUUAACUAUUUUUUUUUUUUAACUUUAGUAUGCUUUCUAGUUGCCGGGCUUCCAUUUUUUCAGCUGCUAGAGGCUCAAACCUCACCGAAGACUACCUGCGUAUGUUGUAUUUUAACCUUCGGGGUCAAUCUGACGUUUCGGUCCUUUCAGGGACCCAACUUACCGUUUUUAUGUAUGUGGGGUCCUUCUGAGAAUUUAGGUGUUUUGACCACUGGCUUAUAGUGGUCAGUGGGAGCCUGCAUUUACCAUGAAAACAUUGAAAUGUGACGACUUGCCCGGGAGGGAAUAGAAGCUCACAAGCAGUGACCGGAUAUUUUCCUUUAGGAAAUGGCUCUGAGAAUGGUUCAUCUGGAGUGUGCUGCAUAGAUGAAAUGCCCUGUCUGCCAGAGUACAUGACACAAGCAAUCUUAAAAGCCAUUUCCACCCCUUUUCUACACUAGAUAAUUGUACCUUUCUAAUUCAGAUUGAUAAGUGCAGCCUACGAGGUUAUAAAGGCUCUUUAAAGUGUGUUGCAGCGCCUCUGUGAGAACAUAAUAGCAGGCAAAAUACAUACUUUCUCCAAACAUGCUUGUCUGAUUCGCCGCUUUGGUAGUGGUGGCAGCAGCAUGAGAAUGGGAACAUACAUCCCGCCCCAGGUAAGUGGGAGGUGGUUGUGCUGCCAUCACCAGGCACUGCGACCGAGUGCUCGCAUCAGCUACUGCUUGUGUUCUGCUCACCACAAGUGUGGCAAAAUACUGACACUGUGGAGAAGUUUUAAAUGUAUAGCUGCUGCUGCAACCACAGCUAGAAACUAGCCAGCAGGCUAGCCAGGGCUGGAGUGGGGACGAAGGAAUACUGGACAAGAGAUUGGAAUCGCCUAGGAAAGGCUAUCAAGGCUGGGAGCUGCAGAAGGAAAAACAUCAGGUAAGGGACUGGGACUGGCUGAAAAACUAGGGGGAGGUGGGAGUGGUCUGGCAUGAAAAAUGAGGGCAUGAAAGAUGGAGAUAGGGAGGAGGAGAAAGGAACAUUAAACUGCCUGAACAAAUACAUGGAAUCGAGGAGGUUGUUUAGGGAAUGUGAAAUCAUGAAAUGUCCAGCAGUCUGGGAGCUGAGACAGAGUGAGUAUGCAGAACGUGAGUGCAGAUGUGGUUAGAGGUUUGAAGGAGAGAGAUGGAUCUUGAAGGAGAAUGGGAAGGGAGAACUGGAUCCUGGAGGAGAGGUGUGGAAGUCUGAGGCAGGCAAGUGUGUGUUGUAUGUAAAUAAAGCUAGUAUUUUAUACUCCUUCCCUCA